CUGAUAAAUCUGCAGGUUGUAUUCCGUUAGUAGUGGCGAGCGAAAGCGGAGCAGUCCAAACCUUAGCAGUGUUAUAUUGGUCUGGUGAAAUUCUCACGAAUGGAGCCGGGCUGGUAUUUAAAGGUACAUGCCGUUGCUGUUAAGGGGUUAUAGAUAAUUAUAACUGCCAUCAUGUAGGGCAGGGUAGAGCACAUAUGACUUCCCUAGUGGAGUGGUCCUGGAAUGGCCAACCAAAGCGGGUGAUAGUCCCAUAGACGAAAGGGGUUAUAUCUCUACGGUUUUUAUCUCGAGUACCACGGGACUCGUGAAAUCCUGUGGGAAUUUGCCGUGACUAUGCGGUAAGACUAAAUACUUUUAAUGAUCGAUAGUGAACUAGUACCGUGAGGGAAAGGUGAAAAGCAGGCCGGUAAGGCCGAUGAAAUAGUAUCUGAAACCAAUUGCAUACAAGGAGUUGGAGCCCGGCCAGUGCUGCGCACUGGAAAUUCUAAAUUCAAAAUUACAAAUUUCAAAUAUUUUUUAAAUAAAAAUUUGAAAAUUGGACCUGCCUGCCGUAGGCAGAAAUUAGAAAUUGGAAAUUCCAGCGCGUAGCGCUGGUGGGUGACAGCGUUCCUAUUGAAGAAUGAGCCAACGAGUUUGUUCUACGUUGCUGGUUUAAUCCCGAAUCAGGGAGAAGGCACAGUGAAAGCGAGGCUGAAUAGGCCGACUGGGGAGCAAUCCCCUAAUAGCAGCGUGGACAAGACCCGAAACCGGGUGACCUAACCAUGACCAGGGUGAACCAGAUGUAAAUAUCUGGGGAGGCCCGAACCCACGAGCCGUGCAACACUCGGGGAUGAGUUGUGGUUAGCGGAGAAAUUCCAAUCGAACUCGGUAAUAGCUGGUUCUCCUCGAAAUAGCUUUAGGGCUAGCUUUAAGAUUGGACCAAGGGGUAGAGCACUGAAUGAGAAUAGGUCCGCAAGGUUACUGUUUUCAAUCAAACUCCGAAUACUUGGUAUCUGUAUCUUAAAAGUCAGACUAUGGGGGCUAAGCUCCAUCAGUCAAAAGGGAAACAGCCCAGAUCGCAAUUUAAGGUCCCUAAAUCCAUGUUAAGUGUAAAAGGUGGUAUUAUAACACUGACAACCAGGAGGUUGGCUUAGAAGCAGCCAUCCUUUAAAGAUAGCGUAAUAGCUCACUGGUCAAGUCGUUUUGCGCCUAAAAUGUUCGGGGCUCAAACAUGGUACCGAAGAUGCGGAACCAGUGCUUUGCACUGGAAAUUCUAAAUUCAAAAUUACAAAUUUCAAAUAUUUUUUAAAUAAAAAUUUGAAAAUUGGACCUGCCUGCCGUAGGCAGGAAUUGAAAAUUGGAAAUUCCAGCGCGAAGCGCUGGUUGGUAGAGGAGUAUUCCAACUGGAAUGAAGUCGGACCCGCGAGGGCCGGUGGACUGGUUGGAAGUAAGAAUGUUGGCAUGAGUAGCAAAAAUCAGGGUGAGAGUCCCUGACACCGUAAGUCCAAGGUUUCCUGGGUAACGAGAAUCGACCCAGGGUUAGUCGGUCCUAAGGCGAGGCCCAAAGGCGUAGUCGAUGGAUAAGCUGGUUAAUAUUCCAGCACUACCUUGAUUUUCCAAGGGGAGGACGCAUUAACAGAGAUUGAGCGCUUUUUGGCUAUAGGCGUUGCUGGUUUAAGAUGCGAUAGACAGGUAAAUCCGUUUAUCAUUAACAUCUGAAUUGGCAGAAGAGAAAACCGCAAGGUGGACUCAAUUCAAUUAAAGUUAGUGCCAAGAAAAAUCUCUAGGGUUAAGAUCAAGGCAACCGUACUGCAAACCGACUCAGGUGGACGAGGCGAGUAGCCUCAGGUGUACGAGAGAAACAUUGUUCAGGAACUCGGCAAAAUAGCGACCGUAACUUCGGAAUAAGGUCCGCCCCGAUUUAUCGGGGCCGCAGCUAAAGAUGCCAAGCGACUGUUUACCAAAAACACAGGUCUCUGCUAAACCGUAAGGUGAUGUAUAGGGGCUGAUGCCUGGCCAGUGUCUGAACGUUAAAGGGAGGGGUUAGUGUGCUUCGCUAUCGCGAAGCACUAAAUUCAAAAGGCAAAAUUAAAAAUUCAAAAAUAAAGUAUUCGCUUAACUCAUGAUUUUUUAUAAAAAUUAUCGCGAAGCGAUACUUAAGUUUUAACUUUUGAUUUUUAAGUUUUGAAUUUAGCGACGCGAUAGCGGAGCGCAUGAAGCCUCAAACUGAAGCGCAGAUGAACGCCGGCGGUAACUAUGAAAUAACGGUUGUAGUUACUUAAAUAAAUUUGGCCAAAUGCUGGAACACCUCGUUAAAACUAAAAAUACUCGGUUGAGUCGCAACCAGUAAAAAUUUUUUAGUUAAGUUAUUUUAAAUAAAAAUAGCUACGAGACAAUCAGCAGGAAAGACUCUUUAAAUAUAUGUCUGAUUGGUUAUCUAAAAUCAAUCCGCGAAUCGGCAAUUAUCUGGCCGGCUUCGCUGAUGGCGAAGGAAGCUUUAAUGUUUCACUUCGCCAACGGGAUGAUCAUAAUCUUGGCUGGCAAAUUGUUUUAUGUUUUAACGUGUCCCAAAAGGAAAGUUAUAUUUUAUCGCAAUAUAAAAAGAUUUUGGGCUGCGGCAAGUUAAUAAAACGUAAUUCAGAUGGGCUGUAUAUGUACAGUGUUACUAAUAAUUUAUCCAUCCAAGAAAAAGUUAUUCCGUUCUUUGAAAAAUUUUCUUUCUUAUCACAAACAAAAAAGAAAAAUUUUCAAAUUUUCUGUCAAACUGCCUAUUUGGUUUUUUCCAAACAGUACUUUACUGAAAAUGGAUUAAAUAAAAUAUUAGAAUUGCGAGAAAAAUUAAACGAAGGCGGGGGUAGAAAAAGAAAAUACAUAAUGAGUGAUGUAAUUAAUUCACUCAAAGAGAAUCCCCAGAGACUAUACGCCAAACCGAGAAUUUUUAGAAAAGAAAAUUCAAGGAUGAUAUAGUCCGAACUCUAUGGC
rnacentral:rRNA from 1 species